rnacentral:rRNA from 1 species
AAGCUCGUAGUUGAAUUUCGGGCCUGGCUGGGUGGUCAGCUUAACGGCGCGUACUGUCUGGCUGGGCCUUACCUCUUGGUGAGCCGGCGUGUCCUUUAUUGGAUGCGUCUGGGAACCAGGACUUUUACCUUGAGAAAAUUAGAGUGUUCAAAGCAGGCCUAUGCCCGAAUACAUUAGCAUGGAAUAAUAAAAUAGGACGUGCGGUUCUAUUUUGCUGGUUUCUAGAGUCGCCGUAAUGAUUAAUAGGGAUAGUUGGG